GUGACGGCAAAAAGGGAAACGGCGGCAGUUUGUAUUAGACGGCCCUGGUAAUUAACGGGACCAAAAGUCGGGCGUGCCUUGAAAUUCUGAUACACCUUCACGUUAACGCGGGAGAUGCUGGCUUUGCUGAAAACGAGGGGUUCUAACGGGCCUUGGGGUGUGCUUAAGUUGGGAUUUGAUUGGGAUGGCUAGGAGAAUUUUCGGUUCGCGGAUGAUGGUGCAGAUUAAUUUCUCGUCAUAGUUAUAGGAAUUAUGAUGAAAGUUGGGGACGCGUUCGCGGGACGUAACAUGAACGGAAGAUUGAUCAUCAUUCGUUUGACUGUUGGUCCUUCGUUUUUACCCCUGGACUUUUAAGUGGUUCGAGUAUACGAGAACCAUACCUACGGAUGUCGAAAUGCGCAGACUCUAAGUGGAUGUAACAAACGAUCGUGGUCCCUAUCUUUUCCUUUUCCUCUUCCUCUUCCUCUUCCUCAUCCUCUUCCGCCUAGUCUUCUCUCUAUAAAAUUCUAUUAUUUACCCAUUCUAAAUGCACCGCAGAAUCUGAUUCGAUUCGAAUUCCUUGUACGACAAGGCAUCGCCUCUAGAUCGCGUCUGCCUUCGACGUUUCAACUGUGAAAGGACAGCACCCUUUCUAGUUCCUCUCCUUUCCUACCACGAGAAUUGGCGAGGUAAACGAAUUCCGGUAUCGAUCUCGCCGAGGCUGUACGGUUAAGAGGGUUACGCAACAUACGUGGUGGUGCUGGGAUUAAGGCGGCACCUUAUACAUGUACGCCCGCUUGAACGAGCCUGCAAACGUGAACGAUACAGCCUAGGAACCCUUACUGCCAGGUUGGAAAGCAUUAUUUCUCCGGGGUGAGUUUACAAACACAGACUCUGCGUUUCUGGUAAAAGGACUCGUUGUUCGGUAACCCGCCAGUCUAAACCCAACGUGCCGGAGCAACGGAAGCCGGAAGUUGGUUUCCUUGGAGAAUUGCUGUUUACGUUGACCCAGAAGGACUCCGGCCGGACUAGCUUUGUCCUUGGGUCUUGAAUUCAGCGGCCUCGUAAGAGCGCGCAGUCUGUCUUUACAAGUUUAUGGUGGCAACGCAUGCUUCCUAAUGGUAUUUAUCGGACGCAUACGUCAGACUUCCACACAUAUAGCAAAUUCCCGUUUUUAUGGGCUACAUGAGGUGUAAUGAUAACAUCAGCGAGAAAGUCAGAGAUUAAUCAGUGUAGUUCUCGACCUUGAACAUUAGGUCAUUUGUGGGAUUUAUUCUAGAAAUCAAAUAUUGAACACAACAUCAUAAAUUUGUAGAUGAACAAUAUGUACAUAUUUAUUCAUACUUCGUUAAGUUACAUUAUGUAUUAUUAAACUAAGACAUUUUUUUAAAGACUACGAAUAAAUGGUGAAAUGU
rnacentral:lncRNA from 1 species